GUAAGGAAUAUUGGACAAUGGAGGCAACUCUGAUCCAGCCAUCCCGCGUGUAGGAAGAAGGCCCUAUGGGUUGUAAACUACUUUUGUCAGGGAAUAAACCUCUCGAUUCACUCGGGAGCUGAAGGUACCUGAAGAAUAAGCACCGGCUAACUCCGUGCCAGCAGCCGCGGUAAUACGGAGGGUGCAAGCGUUAUCCGGAAUCACUGGGUUUAAAGGGUGCGUAGGUGGCAUCGUAAGUCAGAAGUGAAAGUUUGCGGCUUAACCGUAAAAUUGCUUUUGAUACUGCAAUGCUUGAAUCAGGUUGAGGUUGGCGGAAUGUGGCAUGUAGCGGUGAAAUGCUUAGAUAUGCCAUAGAACACCGAUUGCGAAGGCAGCUGACUGGACCUGUAUUGACGCUGAGGCACGAAAGCGUGGGGAGCGAACAGGAUUAGAAACCCUUGUAGUCC
rnacentral:rRNA from 1 species